rnacentral:lncRNA from 1 species
UUUUUUUUUUUUUUUUCAAUAGAAAAACUGAUCCUAAAGGUCGAAUAGAAAAAAUUAACAACAAUGGCCAGGAAAACACUGGCAAGGGAAAAGAGCAAUGAGAAAGCACCAGUAUUAGCAGAUAUAUAUGAAAACGUAUUUUAUGCAAUAGUUAAGAGAGUACUAGAAUAUUAAUAGACAAAUGGAACAGUAUAGACACCAAAUACAUAUGUUAGUUCAUUCCAUGGAAAGAGAAGCAUCUCAAGUCAAAGAGGAAAAGGUAGACCCAUGAAUAAAUGAUGUCAAGACAAGUAGAAAGAUACAAACAGUUGGAUCUAUGUCUUUUUUUUUUUUUAAUUAAUUUAUUUAUGAUAGUCACAGAGAGAGAGAGAGAGAGGCAGAGACACAGGCAGAGGAAGAAGCAGGCUCCAUGCACCAGGAGCCUGAUAUGGGAUUCAAUCCCGGUCUCCAGGAUCGCGCCCUGGGCCAAAGGCAGGCGCCAAACCACUGCGCCACCCAGGGAUCCCUGGAUCUAUGUCUUUGCAACAUUUGUCUCCACCGAAAAAACUCAAGAAAGACAAAGAAAUAUAAAAACUAAAACUAUAGAAGUACUAGAAGAAAACAAAGAUUAAAAACAUUUUUUAAUGGGAAGGUCUUUAUAAUGAUGAUUCAAAAUCUAGAAGCCAUAAAAGUAAAUAUUGAUGAAGCCUGGCUAUAUAAAAAUAUAUUAUAAAAUUUGAACAUGGGAAGAUUCUACAAGAAAAGACAAAGCCAAAACAAACUGGGAAAAAAGUGAUCUAUGUCCCAGACAUAGGGCUAAUCUCUUUCAUGUACACAGAGCUACUAUAAAUCAGUAUGGGAGGCCUGUAACCUAUAGAAAAGUGGGCAAAGCUUAUGAAAAGAGAGGUUCGUUCCAUACACAUUUUAGGAGUGUGUGUUCCAGCUCUGUGAAGAAUGCUGAUGGUAUUUCAAUGGGGAUUGCACUGAAUGUGUAGAUUGCUUUGGGUAGCACAGACAUUUAUUACUAUUUGUUCUUCCAAUCCAUGAGCAUGGAAUGUUUUUCCAUUUCUUUGUGUCUUCCUCCAUUUCUUUCAUAAGUGUUCUAUAGUUUCAGAGUACAGAUCCUUUACCUCUUUCGUUAGGUUUAUUCCUCGGUAUCUUAAUAGCCAAAGUACUGUUGAAAAAGAAAACCAAUGGCGGGGGCAUCACAAUUCAAGCUGGGUUUCAAGCUGUAUUACAAAGUUGUGAUCUUCAAAACAGUAUGGUACUGGCACAGAAACAGACACAUAGAUCAAGAGAACAGAACAGAGAACCCAGAAAUGGGCCCUUUACUCAACAGUCAACUAAUCUUUGACAAAGCAGGAAACAAUAUCCAAUGGAAAAAAAAAAAGAUAGUCUCUUCAGUACAUGGUGUUGGAGCAACUGGACAGUGACAUGCAGAAGAAUGAAACUGGACCACUUUCUUAUACUACACACAAAAAUAAAUUCAAAAUGGAUGAAAGAUCUAAAUGUGAGACAGGAAUCCAUCAAAAUCCUGGAGAAGACAGGCAGCAACCUCUUUGACCUCAGCCACAGCAAUUUCUUGCAAGACACAUUUCUGGAGGCAAGGAAAACAAAAGCAAAAAUGAACUGUUGAGACUUCAUCAAGAUAAAAAGCUUCUGCACAGCAAAGGAAACAGUCAACAAAAACCAAAAGACAACCUACAGAAUGGGAGAAGGUAUGUGCAAAUGACUUAUCAGAUAAAGGGCUAGUAUCCAAAAUCUAUAAAGAACUUAGCAAACUCAACACCCAAAAAAACAAAAAAAAUCCAUUCAAGAAAUGAGCAGAAGACAUGAACAGACAUUUAUCCAAAGAAAACAU